GACGAACGCUGGCGGCGUGCUUAACACAUGCAAGUCGAACGGAAAGGCCCUGCUUUUUUGGUGUGCUCGAUUGGCGAACGGGUGAGUAACACGUGAGUAACCUGCCCUUGACUUUGGGAUAACUUCAGGAAACUGGGGCUAAUACCGGAUAGGAGCCCCUGCUGCAUGGUGGGGGUUGGAAAGUUUCGGCGGUUGGGGAUGGACUCGCGGCUUAUCAGCUUGUUGGUGGGGUAGUGGCUUACCAAGGCUUUGACGGGUAGCCGGCCUGAGAGGGUGACCGGCCACAUUGGGCCUGAGAUACGGCGCAGACGCGUACGGGAGGCAGCAGUGGGGAAUAUUGCACAAUGGGCGGAAGCCUGAUGCAGCAACGCCGCGUGCGGGAUGACGGUCUUCGGGUUGUAAACCGCUUUCGCCUGUGACGAAGCGUGAGUGACGGUAAUGGGUAAAGAAGCACCGGCUAACUACGUG
rnacentral:rRNA from 1 species